rnacentral:rRNA from 1 species
UACAGAGGUCUCAAGCGUUGUUCGGAUUCAUUGGGCGUAAAGGGGGCGUAGGUGGCGCCGUAAGUCGGGUGUGAAAUUUCGGAGCUUAACUCCGAAACUGCAUUCGAUACUGCGGUGCUUGAGGACUGGAGAGGAGACUGGAAUUCAUGGUGUAGCAGUGAAAUGCGUAGAGAUCAUGAGGAACACCGGUGGCGAAGGCGGAUCUCUGGGCCGUAACUGACGCUGAGGAGCGAAAGCAUGGGGAGCGAACAGG